rnacentral:rRNA from 1 species
UAUAAUUAAGGGGAGGAAAAGAAACCAACUCGGAUUCCCCUAGUAACGGCGAGUGAAGCGGGAAGAGCUCAUGUUGUAAAUCUCCAGCUUGCUGGCGAAUUGUAGUCUAAAGGUGCGUGCUCAGUCGUGGUCCCGGGCUAAGUCUGUUGGAAAACAGCAUCAUGGACGGUGACAAUCCGGUUCUUGCCUGGGGUCCCGCGGCGUACGAGCCGUUUCCGACGAGUCGUGUUGCUUGGGAUUGCAGCACUAAGUGGGUGGUAAAUUCCAUCUAAAGCUAAAUAUUGGUGGGAGACCGAUAGCGAACAAGUACCGUGAGGGAAAGAUGAAAAGACUUUUGAAAAGAGAGUAAAAUAGUACCUGAAACUGCUGAAAGGGAAGCGAUUGAAGUCAGUGUUGCUCCUGGUCUUUUUGCCGUCGCCCCCGUGGGGGUUGCGGCGUGGGGCCUGGAGCGUUUCAACAUGCGUUCUGUUCCGCGGGAAAUGUUCAGUGUGCUGGAACCUUCGGGGAAACGCACUGUUCUUGUCGUGGUUAGGACGGAGGACCUUUGCUCCUUUGACUGCGCGUUCCUCUCUCGGGUAUGCUGGUGUCUACUGCUUGCAGUUUUCAUUUUCAUGCUUGCGACUGUGCGUGUUAUUCAUGAGCGAACAUGAUGUUGAAGAAAUGGCUUUAAUUACCCCGUCUU